CAGCUGCUCGACAUCAAGAAGAGUUUUGUACCAUAUAUAUCAAUAAUGGAGAUCAUCGAUCCAUACAAAGAUAAUGAGUUCUGAACUCAAUCGAUGAGAUCUAACGGUUAGAUCUGAUUUAAGGUAUUGAUGUGAUCGAUGUAGUUUUUAUUUACACAGAUUUUGUAUGUAAAAUUUUUAUAUCAUAGAUUCUUAAAAAUAGUUUAGAUCUAAUCUAAAGCAUAUGUAGGAGAUUAAAGUAUUUAAUCUAUUAUCUUUUGUUAUAAAAAUUUUAAAAAUGCAUGCUUUGAACUAUCUGUUUCUCCUACAAUUGGUAUCAGAACUUCGUUGCUCUUGACAUGAAUGUUUUGCAUAUAAUCUAAUUUUAAUAUAAUUUUAAUUAUUUAGUGAUAUAUCUUAAAUUUAUCGUAAGUGCACGGUGUGCAAUGUAGCACGUCCGACGAGUACGAGUCGAUCCCACAAGGAAUUGGAUUUUGAAUUGUAUUUAAAUGCUUGCUCAGGCGAGCUUUAGAGAAAAAGGGAAGAGAUUGUUUAUUGAAUUAUGAACUACCAAAG
rnacentral:lncRNA from 1 species